rnacentral:snRNA from 1 species
GUGCUUGCUUUGGCAGCACAUAUACUAAAAUUGGAACAAUACAGAUUAGCAUGGCCCCUACGCAUGAGGACAAGUAAAUUCGUGAAGUGUUUCAUAUUUUA